UCCCGUUGAUCCUGCGGGAGAAUGCUGCCAUCAGGGUUCGACUAAACCAUGCAAGUCUGGGGCUCUUCGGAGCACCGGCAGAAUGCUCAGUAACACGUCGGUAACCUGCCCUUAAGUCUAGGAUAACCUUGGGAAACUGAGGCUAAAACUGGAUAGGGAAUAAUUUCUGGAACGAUAUAUUCUUUAAAAGUAAUGCUUAAGGAUGGGCCGGCGGCGGAUUAGCUUGUUGGUGGGGUAAUGGCCCACCAAGGCUACGAUCCGUAGGGGGGAUGAGAGUCCUAGCCCCGAGAAGGCCACUGAGAUACUGGGCCUAGCCCUACGGGGUGCAGCAGGUGCGGAACCUUUACAAUGCACGAAAGUGUGAUAAGGGGACCCUGAGUGCUUAUGCUUUGCAUAGGCUUUUGCCAAGAGUAAACACCUUGGCGAAUAAGUGGUGGGUAAGACUGGUGCCAGCCGCCGCGGUAACACCAGCGCCGCAAGUGGCAUUCAUGUAUUUGGCUUAAAGCGUUCGUAGCCGGUUAAGUAAAUCAUUUGUGAAAUCGAUAAGCCUAACUUAUCGGCGUGCAGAUGAAACUGCUUAACUUGGGACCGGGAGGGGUCAGAGGUAUUUUUGGGGGAGCGGUAAAAUGCUGUAAUCCCAGAAGGACCACCUGUGGCGAAGGCGUCUGACUAGAACGGAUCCGACGGUGAGGAACGAAAGCUAGGGGAGCAAACCGGAUUAGAUACCCGAGUAGUCCUAGCUGUAAACGCUGCGAACUAGGUGUUGCAUAUUCUCCGUGAAUGUGCAGUAUCGGAGCGAAAGUGUUAAGUUCGCCGCCUGGGAAGUAUGGUCGCAAGACUGAAACUUAAAGGAAUUGGCGGGGGAGCACUACAAGGGGUGCGGCGUGCGGUUUAAUCUAACUCAACGCAGAGAAUCUCACCAGGAGCGACGGCAGGAUGAAGGUCAGUCUAAAGGGCUUACCUGACGAGCCGAGAGGUAGUGCAUGGCCGUCGUCAGCUCGUGCCGUAAGGUGUCCUUUUAAGUAAGGUAACGAGCGAGACCUGCAUCUACAAUUGCUAGCAGGCCCUUUAGGGCGACUGAGCACAUUGUGGGGACUGCCUUGGAAACAAGGAGGAAGGCGCAGGCAACGACAGGUCUGUAUGCUCCGAAUCUUCUGGGCUACACACGCGCAACAAUGGUAGGGACAAUGGGAUACGACUCCGAAAGGAGAAGUUAAACCUCUAAACCCUAUCCUAGUUCAGAUUGAGGCUUGUAACUCAGCCUCAUGACGCUGGAAUCCCUAGUAAUCGGAUUUCAUCACAGUCCGGUGAAUAUGUCCCUGCUCCUUGCACACACCGCCCGUCAAACCAUCCGAGCAGGGUUUAGAUGAGCGUCGGCUUUUUGGUCAAUUCGAAUCUAGACUCAGUGAGGCGGGUUAAGUCGUCACAAGGUA
rnacentral:rRNA from 1 species